UCCAGUAGAAAGUCCCUUACCUCAAAGUUGGGGAAACUCCUUAAUCAACUAACGUCCUCGAAACAAUCCUAAGCACAACAACACAAAAUUCAAUUACUUUCACGAUACAUAUCUCACUUACUUUCCUCAACGUAAGUUCCAACUCACCGAUAUACUGGCGAACUGAACCCUCAACAAUUCACAAAUUGAUUGUGAAUUUAAGGGAGCCCAACGUUACUCCCAACACCUCAACGCACGACUGUCGAACUCGCAGCAAAAAUCCUAAGUGUGGGUCGGUCAGCGGUCGGCCAAAUGAGAUGUGGCGGCUGGGCUUCACGGAUGGAGACCGUCGCGGACAGACCGCGAAUCUGAAUGGUUACAGCAAUUCUGAACGGUUACAGCAAAUCUGAACGGUUACAGCAACUAGUCGGCCGACGUGGAUAGCAGGUGGAGCGGCAGUUGUGAGCGGGGAGCGUGGCGGUUACUGGUUCACGCGGCGGCCUUGGCUUCGACAGAGACAGAACCGGCUGAGACGGCUGGGCAGCGGCGGAAGAGCAACGGCUGCAGCGGCGGAAGGUCUUGCGGUACAGAUCUAGACGGCGGCCGCAAGGUGACGCGUACGGCUGCCUCGCGAACUGGCCGAUGGUUGCAGCGACGUCCGGCUGGGUUUGGACGGAACGGAGAGGAGAAGAGAAGAUGGAGAUGGCCGGCGACGGUUGCUGUGCGAACGGAUGGAGCGGCUGGGCUGCGGCGGGAAGAAAACGGAGGAGAAAGGAUCGGCGGCUGGGCUGCGGCUGCGCACGAACGGAAGGAGAAGAGGAAUGGAGGUCGGCCGGUGGCGGUUGCUGCGCUGCGAACGGGGAGAGGGGAAGGGCGCACGGCGCACGGGAGGAGAAGAGAAGAGAAAAGAAAAAGAAAAAGAAAAAGAAAAAAGAAAAAAAAAUAAUAAAAAAUUUCUUUAUUAUUAUUAUUAUUUUUUUUUAAAUUAAUAAAAAUAAUAUAUAUACCUUUCCUUCUUUUCCUCUUUUUCUUCCUCUCUUCUUGGGGCAUUACAUUCUUCCCUCGUUAAGAAACUUUCGUCCUCGAAAGUUUUAAUCUUGAAAUAACUCUGGAUAACGAGUCCUCAUCUCUUCCUCUCGCUCCCAUGUCGCCUCUUCAAUUCGAUGAUUCCGCCACAAAACCUUUACUAAUGGAAUGCUUCUAUUACGAAGCAUCUUCACCUCUCUAGCCAGAAUCUCCACAGGUUGUUCUACAUAGCUCAAAUGCUCAUCAAUCUCCAAGGGUUCAUAGUCUACUACAUGAGAUGUAUCGACCACAUAUUUCCUCAACAUCGAAACAUGGAAAACAUUAUGGACUGCAGAGAGUGGUGGUGGUAACGCCAAGCGAUACGCCACAACACCAACCCUCUCUAAGAUCUCAAAUGGUUCAACAAAUCGAGGACUUAACUUCCCUUUCUUCUCAAAACGCAUAACACCCUUCAUUGGUGCUACCUUCAAGAAUAUCUUUUCUCCCACAUCAAACUUAAGGUCUUUUCGCCGUACAUCCGCAUAACUCUUCUGUCUACUUUGCGCUGUUUGCAUACGCGUUCUAAUCUUUUGAAUAGCCUCAUUAGUAGACCGAACUAAUUCAGGUCCCAUCAACCUAUGUUCACCAACCUCACUCCAACAAACAGGGGUUCUACAACAUUUGCCAAAGAAAGCCUCAAAUGGUGUCAUACCGAUGGUAGCCUGAAAACUGUUGUUAUAAGCAAACUCCAUCAAAUGUAGAUGAGAGUCCCAACUACCUGGAAACUCUAUAACACAAGCUCGUAGCAUAUCCUCUAAAACUUGGUUCAAAUGUUCAGUUUGACCAUCAGUCUGUGGAUGAAAGGCUGUACUAAAAUCCAAUCUCGUACCCAUAGCAGCCUGAAGUCCCUUCCAAAACUUGGAAGUAAACCGUGCAUCCCUAUCAGAAACAAUCGAUACAGGUACUCCAUGCAGUCUCACAAUCUCAGUUAAAUACAACUAUGCCCACUUACUAGCAGUAUAAGUGGAUUUUCCUGGUACAAAAUGUGCCGAUUUCGUAAGUCUGACUAUGACAACCAAAAUCACUGUGAAACCCUUCAGGGUCUUAGGCAGCCCUAAAAUAAAAUCCAUCGACACAUUCUCCCACUUCCACUCUGGCACACUUAAGGGUUGUAACAAACCUGCUGGUUUCUGUCUAGGUGCCUUAACCUGCUAGCACACCAAGCACUUACUAACAAUAUCUUCCACUUCUCUCUUCAUAUUACGCUAGUAACAAACUUUUUUCAGAUCCGGAUACAUUUUUGUGCUACUUGGAUGCAUGAGAAAUGGGAAACUAUGAGUCUCAACCAAUAACCUUGUCUUAAUUGCAUUUUCUGUUGGCACACAUAAACGUCUCUCAAACAUCAACCCACCAUCAGAGGAUAUGGAGAACUCAUCAGUCUGCCCUGUUUCAACAAGGCAACGUCUCUCCAUCAAAUAAGGAUCAUUACUCUGAGCAUCAACAAUCUUGUGCCUCAGAAUCGGUUGCACCGUUAAUUGAGCUAGCUGUGAGGUGACUCUCCCCACAGACACUGCAAUCUCAGCUCUCUCCAAGUCUGGAUGCAAUGGUACCUGUCUAGUAAUGAGUGCUGCCGAAUGUGAUACUUUUCUACUAAGAGCAUCAGCCCCCACAUUCGCCUUACCAGGAUGGUACAAUAUCUCACAGUCAUAAUCUUUUACCAACUCGAGCCACCUUCGCUGUCUCAUAUUCAACUCCUUCUGAGUGAAGAAAUACUUUAGGCUCUUAUGGUCAGUAAAGAUUUCUAUCUUUUCACCGUACAAAUAAUGUCUCCAUAUCUUCAAUGCAAAAACCACUGCUGCCAACUCCAAAUCAUGUGUGGGGUAGUUCUGCUCGUGACUCUUCAACUGACGAGAGGCAUAAGCAACUACUUUAACUUGUUGAAUCAUAAUACCUUUUAAACUUUCCUAAAAGCAUCACUAUAAAUUACGAAACUUUCUGAACCAUCAUGUACGGUAAGCACGGGAGUUGUACAAGCUUCGGCUUAAGAUCCUGAACACUAUCCUCAUAGGCUUUGUCCCAAACAAACGGAGUCCCUUUUCUUAGUUAACUGAGUCAAAGGAGUAGCUAUACGAGAAAAUUCUUAUACAAACCGUUAGUAAUAACCUGCUAAACCCAAAAAGACUAUGAACCUCACUGACUAUGAAAAGUCGAGGCCAACUAGUAACAACUUCAAUCUUUUGUGAGAUCCACAUAAAUGUCACCUCUAGAUACCACAUGGCUUGGAAAGAUACUUGGCCUCAUCCAAAACUCACAUUUUGAAAACUUUGCAUACAAUUCGUUGACUCGAAGAGCCUCUAAAACCAUGUUAAAUGCUCCUCAUGCGCUGUCUCUAUUUUGGAAUAAAUUAAGAUAUCGUCAAUAAAUACUAUCACGAAAGUGUCUAAGAGAUCGUUAAACACUUUGUUCAUCAAGUCGUAAACAUUGUUUGAGCAUUUGCCAACUCAAAAGACAUCAUAAUGAACUCAUGAUGUCCAUAUCUCGAACGAAAAUCUGCCUUAGGAAUGUCACUGUUCUCUAAUCCUCAACAAGUCAUAACCUGAAUGUAAUUCAAUCUUAAAGAACACGGACUUAUUGCAGUUGAUCAAACAAAUCCUCAUUCAUUGGUAAAAGAUAUUUAUUCUUAACCGACACCUUAUUCAACUUUCUACAAUCAAAACAUAAGUGCAUCGACCCAUCUUUCUUCUUAAUAAACAAAAAUUGGUGCACCCCAAGAUAACAUACUUCGUCAAAUGUAGUCCUUGUCAAACAUUUCUUUCAAUUGCACCUUCAAAUCUUUCAACUCUGUUGGUGCCAUUUUGUAUGAAGCUUUAGAUAUAGGAACGAGUCUAACUCUAUCUCAAUAACAAGACCAAUUUCUGUUUAGCACGGUAAUCUUAGAAACUCUUCUAGAAAAAUAUCAUAAUACUUUUUCACCACUGAUUCAAAUAACAAAGAAACAUCGACUUCUCUGGUGUCUACCACACUAGUCAAAUACAACAGGUACCCUGGUCAAGCAACUUACUUACCUUCAUAGCUGGGAUAACUUUUAGCAAAACGAUAGUUCCAACCUCUUUGUACUUGAAACUAGCCUCUAGAGAAGGAUUAGAAACUUCAUUUUCGCUGAACAUUUUAUGUUUACAUGGUUAAACUACAUUCCAAUUUUCAAACUCCAAACUAGUAACUUUUCAUUCACGAGAAACUCAAAAUUGUUUCUUAAAGUCACAUCAAGACAACCAUGCUCAUCUUCCUUGUUUCUUUUCCAAUACCUCCAUUCUAAAACCAUUUAAUGUGUUUCGUAUAAACUUGACCGUGUAUUUAGUCCUCGUUAAAACCACCUACAGAACUUAUUUUUCUUAGAUUUCCAAUCACAAAACAGACAAUUUCGCUAACAACGUCUUACUUUUCUACUACUCGACCACUCCUUUGAACACCUCUACAUGGCAACAUUUUUCCUAAAUUUCACCAUUAAAUCCUUCACCAUUAAAUCAUAACAUUCAUGUAAUUCUAGUUUAACUUAGGCAAGGUCAUAUACAUAAACCAUACAUAUAAGCAUAAAGCAUAACUAACGCGACCCUGACCUCGACUUACCUAGAAAAGUUGGGUCGUUACAAUAUAGUUUACUACAUGUUGUUACAACAUACUUAAGAUAUAAAUGUUUAUAUGACUAACAACAUAAUAUUACUAUAAGAUAAACAAAAAAAUAAAGAACAGAUUGAAUUGAAAAAUAUUUUCGAUUAUUGUAUGUCACUAUAUAUGUCUGCUGUAUAUAUAUCUCUAAGCAAUAUUACAUAAUGAGGUAGUAUAUAUGUAACAAAUCACAUAAUAUAUAUGUAUUAUGGAGUAGUAUAAAUGUAAUUGUUGAGCAAGAAAUUUCAACCAAUGAAAUUACACCACGUCGUCGCACCCAAGUUGUGAUGAUUAUAAUUUGAUUGGAUUUGGGUAGUCAAGUUUUCCAACCCAAUUCAAGCCCCUGAUAAAAAAUCAGGCCAAACAAAGGGGCCUAAGCCCACUAAGAAAAUGGGCCCAAGCCCAAGUCCAAGUCCAAGCUCAACAACUCAACAAGCAAAUGGGUCUAAGCCCACAUAAAGUCCACAAAUUUUCUCUAUAAGUAGAGACCUUUGUCAUUCAUUCGAGAGAUCUUUUGUUGAAGGAAGAAAUGAAGCUCUGAAGUACUGAAGCUUUGAAGAAUUGAAGAUUCAAACUUCUAUAGAGCUCUCAAGACGUGCAAGUUCUUAUCAACUUCGAGAUCAUCAUCUUCUGAAAUAUUAUAUAUACAUAAUAUAUAAAUAAGAAAGAAAAAUUAGUUUAAUAAGGAAACCUUGCAUCUCUUUCGUUUAUGACAACCACAUUUAAAACUUCAUUUUAGAAUGAAUUCUAAUAUUUUUUUUGUUGACCAACUGAACGUUUUACAUUCAAUGGGAUGAUGUCAACUUCAAUUACUGUAUUAUUGAAUAUAUGCAUUAGUAUGUAUGUAACAAAUCAAAUAAAAUACUAAUCGAAUAUAGAAAAAUAUAAAGAAAAUGAUACAAAACGUGAAGGAAAAAAACUGAACUGUAUAUGUGUCACAAAAUACGUGUUAUUAUAUUUAUAUAAAUGUAUAUAUUGAUAACAUCACCUGUCUAUGUAGUGAUAUAUAUUGAAAUUCAACUAUAAAAUUAUGUAGAACUAUGUGUCACUAAAUAUUUAUGUUGUAAAUAAGGUGUAUCUAUAUAUUAAAUCACAUCAUAAACAUAUUAUAAUUUACGAGUAUAUUAUAGUAUAUAUUGUUCAUUUAAAAAAUAUAUGACAAAUAGAAGGUAUAUAAUUAUACGAAGUGAGAAUAUGUAUGUAUGAUGUUCUCACUGCAUAUUAUAUAUACACUAAGAAUGUGUAUUUUACUGUUUUAGUAGUAUUUACUAUAUAAAUAUAUAUUUUAAAUAUUAAUUAUUAAUGAAUAUAUAUGUAACGACCCAACUUUUCUAAGUAAGUCGAGAUCGUUAAUUUUUAACAAAUAAAGACUUUGAUUAAUAUAAAACAAAACGUAAACAAUUAAAAAAAAACAUCUUCAAGUCAGGCCUGAUUUUUAAACAUUCAAGAAAACAUAAAAUAGUACUAUUUACAACAAACGUUUGUAAACUAAAUUUCAAUUCAUUUUAAACCUCACAAGAACCCAUAAGCGGAGCAAAAACACGUUUCCUAAGGCAUCACGCUUCCUUCCUGCCCCUCGCCUGUUUGCCGCCUUUAUUACCUUUGCCUGAAAAUUAAACAUAAGAAGGGUGAGUAUUUUAAAUACUCAGUAAGAGACCCUCUACUGGUCCCGUCAGGAGAAAAUAAAUUAUUAACGAUCUAUUGGGACACCCUGUACAGUCACAUUCUUGUGAUCCCGUAGGUUACACAUCUUAGUCUAACGCCCCGAUGGACGUACAUAUCAGUCUAGUGUUCUGCAGAAACACAUAUCAGUCUAAUGCUCCCGAAGGUGCAAAAUAAAUUGGUGAUCCCGUGGGACACCUACAAGGUACACAUCCCAAUAAAUCUAACAAUUUUCCCCUCAUUCCAUUCAAUCCAUCCUUCAGUUGCUUCAAAACAUAAAAUUUUUUCUCUCAACGUCCUAACAGUCAACUUACUUUACUUUAGUCAUCUGUCCGUCAAUAAUAUACUAAUACGUCAGUCAAUCAACUAUACAGUCAAUACACCCCUCAGUUCACCAGCACACAAUCAUACUUUAGCGUAAUCGUACACCCAAUCUAAACGAGAAUCACAAGUUCAUAUCUACAUCUCAUACCAACACAAUCUACAAUCUUCGUCAUGUCCACAUACACACACUUAUAUAUAUUUUCCAUGACAUUCACGAUAUACAUUCGACAUUAUGUCUACUUCAAUUCACAUGCAUUCAUAUAUAUUUUCAGUCAAACCACAGUAUACAUUCAACACACAUACAGUUCACAAUCACAAUUGAGCCCAAUAGAAAAUCCCUUACCUGAAAGUUAGGGAAGCUCCUUAAUCAACUAACGUCCUCGAAACAAUCCUAAGCAUAACAACAUAAAAUUCAAUUACUUUCACGAUACAUAUCCCACUUAUUUUCCUCAACGUAAGUUUCAACUCACCGAUAUAAUGGCGAACUGAACCUUCAACAAUUCACAAUCUGGUUGUGAAUGUAAGGGAGCCUAACGUUACUCCCAACACCUCAACGCACGACUCGAACUCGCAGCAAAAUCCUAAGUGUGGGUCGGUUAGCGGUCGGCCAAAGGGAACGUGGCGGCUGGGCUUCACAGAUGGAGACCGUCGCGAACAGACCGCGAAUCUGAACGGUUACAGCAAAUCUGAACGGUUACAGCAACUAGUCGGCCGACGUCGAUAGCAGGUGGAGCGGCGGUUGUGAGCGGGGAGCGUGGUCGACGGAGACAGAAUCGGCGAUGGAGACGGCAGAUUGGCGCGCGGGACGACUGCUGCAAGGUUGCUUCGCGAACCGGAGAUGGCGGCCGACGGUUGCAGACGGAGAGGCUGCAGCGGCAGCUGGGUAUAGUAGAAAAGAAAGAGAAACGGAAGAAGAGAAAUUUGGGGUGGCCGGCCGUAGAAAACGAAAAGAAAAGAGGAAGAAAAAAGAAGAAAGAAAAGAGAAAGGAAAAGAGAAGGAAGAAAAGAGAUGGUUGUGGUUGUAGGUUGAACAGGAAGAGAAAGGAAGAAGAUGAAUAGGAAAAGAGAAAAAUAAAAUAAAAUAUUAUAAGUAUAUUUUUUUCUUUCUUUUAUUAUUAUUCUUUUUUCUUUUUUUUCUUAAAAUAGAAUUAUUAAUAAUAAUAAUAUAAUUAUAAUAUAUUAUUAUUACUUUUCUGUUUCCUUUACUUUUCCUCUUCCCAAAACAAACAUUCUCUCUCUUCAUUAAAUACUAUCAAUUCCAACUUUUUAUCCCUUCUUUAAAAUAACAAAAUUUUAGAUUAUUCAAACUAAUUAUAUUAUUUCCAAUAAUAUAAUUUUCUCAUCCUUCCAUAACAUCAAACACAUAUAUCUAUACUCAAAAUCCUAAAAUAAAUUACCAAGAUCAUUCUCUUUUAUUCAUCCAUAACAAUAUAAAAAAAAUCAAUUUUCAUAAUUAAUUAGAUAUUCUUUCAUAAAUAUUCAAUUAAUUAUAAUCUUCACAAAACAAACAAAUCUCUUAAUUUAUCUAAAAUAACACCCAAAUAAUUCCAACUUAAAUUCAAUUCCAUUAAGAUAAAUUAAAUUUAAAAUUACCUUAAAUUUUGGGAUGUUACAAUCUUCCCUCCUUUUAGAAACUUUCAUCCUCGAAAGUACUAAUCCUCAAUAACUCUAUAAUAUCCCUGGGUAAUGAGCUCUCAUAUCAUCUUCUCGUUCUCAUGUCGCUUCUUUAACUCGAUGAUUCUGCCACAAUACUUUUACUAAUGAAAUUCCUCUAUUACGAAGCAUCAUCACUUCUCUAACCAGAAUCUCAACUGGUUGCACCACAUAGCUCAAAUUCUCGUCAAUCUCUAGUGGUUCAUAGUCCACUACAUGAGAUGGAUCUGCCACAUACUUUCUCAACAUCGAAACAUGGAAAACAUUAUGAAUUGCAGAGAGAAAUGGAGAGAGAAAUGGUGGUAAUGCUAAACGAUAUGCCACAACACCAAUUCUCUUUAAAAUCUCAAACGGUCCAACAAAACGAGGAUUUAACUUCCCUUUCUUCUCAAAAUGCAUAACAUCCUUCAUAGUUGCUACCUGCAAGAACACCUUAUCUCCCACAUCAAACUCAAGGUUCUUUCACCUCAGAUCUGCAUAACUUUUUUUUUUUUCUACUUUGCGUUGUUUGCGUACGUACUCUAAUAUUCUGAAUAAACUCAUUAGUAGACUAAACCAACUCAUAACCCAUCAAUCUCUGUUCACCAACCUCAUUCCAACAAACAGAAGUUCUACAACAUUUACCAUACAAAGCUUCAAACGGUGUCAUGCCAAUGGUAACCUGAAAACUGUUAUUAUAAGCAAACUCCAUCAAAUGUAAGUGAGAGUCCCAACUACCUGGAAACUCUAGAACACAAGCUCGUAGCAUAUCCUCUAAAACUUGGUUCAAACGUUCAGUUUGGCCAUCAGUCUGUGGGUGAAAGGUUGUACUAGAAAUCUAACCUCGUUCCCAUGGCAGUCUAAAGUCCCUUCCAAAACUUGGAAGUAAAAAGUGCAUCUCGUUAGAGACAAUAAUACGGGCACUCCAUGUAGUCUCACAAUCUCAAUCAAAUAUAAUUAUGCUCAUUUACUAGUAGUAUAAGUGGAUUUUUUUUUUUUUAAAUGAAAUGUGUCGAUUUCGUAAGCCUAUCGACAAUAACCCAAAUCACUGUGUAACCCUUCAGGGUUUUAGGCAAUUAUAUAAUAAAAUCCAUAGAUACAUUCUCCCACUUCCACUCUAAUAUACUCAAAGGUUGCAACAAACCUGUUGGUUUCUAUCUUGGUGCUUUAACCUGCUAGCACACCAAGCACUUACUAACAAGAUCUUCCAUUUCUCUCUUCAUAUUACGCUAGUAACAAACUCUUUUCAGAUCCGGAUACAUUUUUGUGCUACUUGGAUGCAUGAGAAAUGGGAAACUAUGAGUCUCAACCAAUAACCUUGUCUUAAUUGCAUUUUCUGUUGGCUCACAUAAUUCUCUCUCAAACAUAAGUUCAUCAUCAAAGGAUAUGGAAAACUCCUUAACUUGCCCUACUUCUACUAGGCAAUGCUUCUCAAUCAAAUAAGGAUCAAUGAAUUGAACCACAAGAAUUCUUUGUCUCAAGAUCGGAUGUACUGACAACUGAGCUAACUGUGAGGUGACUUCCCCCACUAAAACUACAAUCUCAGCUCUCUCGUGGUUUUUGUCUAAUGAAACCUGUCUGGUAAUAAGUGCUGUCAAAAUGUGAUACUUUUCUACAAAGAGCACCAACUUCCACAUUCGCCUUACCUAAAUGGUACAAAAUCUCACAAUCAUAGUCAUUUACUAACUGAAACCAUCUUUGCUAUCUCAUACUCAACUUCUUUUGAGUGAAAAAGUAUUUUAUACUCUUUUGGUUAGAAAAUAUCUAUAUCUUUUCAUCAUGAAUAUAUAGUGCCUUCAAAUCAUUAAUGUAAAAACCACAACUGUCAAUUUCAUAUCAUAAGUUGGACAAUUUUCCUCAUGACUCUUCAACUGACGAGGAGUACAAGCAACUACUUUAACUUGUUGAAUCAUAAUACCUUUUAAACUUUCCUAAAAGCAUCACUAUAAAUUACGAAACUUUCUGAACCAUCAUGUACGGUAAGCACGGGAGUUGUACAAGCUUCUGCUUAAGAUCCUGAACACUAUCCUCAUAGGCUUUGUCCCAAACAAACAGAGUCCCUUUUCUUAGUUAACUGAGUCAAAUGAGUAGCUAUACGAGAAAAUUCUUAUACAAACCGUUAGUAAUAACCUGCUGAACCCAAAAAGACUACGAACCUCACUGACUAUGAAAGGUUGAGGCCAACUGGUAACGACUUCAAUCUUUUAUGAGAUCCACAUAAAUGUCAUCUCUAGAUACCACAUGGCUUGGAAAGAUACUUGGCCUCAUCCAAAACUCACAUUUUGAAAACUUUGCAUACAAUUUGUUGACUCGAAGAGCCUCUAAAACCAUGUUAAAUGCUCCUCAUGCGCUGUCUCUAUUUUGGAAUAAAUUAAGAUAUCGUCAAUAGAUACAAUCACGAAAGUGUCUAAGAGAUCGUUAAACACUUUGUUCAUCAAGUCGUAAACAUUGUUUGAGCAUUUGCCAACUCAAAAGACAUCAUAAUGAACUCAUGAUGUCCAUAUCACGAACGAAAAUCUGCCAUAGGAAUGUCACUGUUCUCUAAUCCUCAACAAGUCAUAACUUUAAUGUAAUUCAAUCUUAAAGAACACGGAAUUAUUGCAGUUGAUCAAACAAAUCCUCAUUCAUUGGUAAAAGAUAUUUAUUCUUAACCGACACCUUAUUCAACUUUCUACAAUCAAAACAUAAGUGCAUCGACCCAUCUUUCUUCUUAAUAAACAAAAAUUGGUGCAUCCCAAGAUAACAUACUUCGUCGAAUGUAGUCCUUGUCAAACAUUUCUUUCAAUUGCACCUUCAAAUCUUUCAACUCUGUUGGGGCCAUUUUGUAUGAAGCUUUAGAUAUAGGAACGAGUCUAACUCUAUCUCAAUAGCAAGACCAAUUUCUGUUUAGCGCGGUAAUCUUAGAAACUCUUCUAGAAAAAUAUCAUAAUACUUUUUCACCACUGAUUCAAAUAACAAAGAAACAUCGACUUCUCUGGUGUCUACCACACUAGUCAAAUACAACAAGUACCCUGGUCAAGCAACUUACUAACCUUCAUAGUUGGGAUAACUUUUAGCGAAACGAUAGUUCCAACCUCUUUGUACUUGAAACUAGCCUCUGGAGAAGGAUUAGAAACUACAUUUUUGCUGAACAUUUUAUGUUCACAUGGUUAAACUACAUUCCAAUUUUCAAACUCCAAACUAGUAACUUUUCAUUCACGAGAAACUCAAAAUUGUUUCUUAAAGUCACAUCAAGACAACCAUGCUCAUCUUCCUUGUUUCUUUUCCAAUACCUCCAUUCUAAAACCAUUUAAUGUGUUUCGUAUAAACUUGACCGUGUAUUUAGUCCUCGUUAAAACCACCUACAUAACUUAUUUUUCUUAGAUUUCCAAUCACAAAACAGACAAUUUCGCUAACAACGUCUUACUUUUCUACUACUCGACCACUCCUUUGAACACCUCUACAUGACAACAUUUUUCCUAAAUUUCACCAUUAAAUCUGUCACCAUUAAAUCAUAACAUUCAUGUAAUUCUAGUUUAACUUAGGCAAGGUCAUAUACAUAAACCAUACAUAUAAGCAUAAAGCAUACCUGACGAGAGACGAAGGGUCGCGUUAGCCAUAGGGACACAAAAACAUAGACUUACAUCGUAAGUCAGUCUACAGAACCUAAAACUUAGGCUCUGAUACCAACUGUAACGACCCAACUUUUCUAAGUAAGUCGAGAUCGUUAAUUUUUAACAAAUAAAGACUUUAAUUAAUAUAAAACAAAACGUAAACAAUUAAAAAAAAAACAUCUUCAAGUCAGGCCUGAUUUUUAAACAUUCAAGAAAACAUAAAAUAGUACUAUUUACAACAAACGUUUGUAAACUAAAUUUCAAUUCAUUUUAAACCUCACAAGAACCCAUAAGCGGAAGCAAAAACACGUUUUCUAUGGCAUCACGCUUCCUUCCUGCCCCUCGCCUGUUUGCCGCCUUUAUUACCUUUGCCUGAAAAUUAAACAUAAGAAGGGUGAGUAUUUUAAAUACUCAGUAAGAGACCCUCUACUGGUCCCGUCAGGAGAAAAUAAAUUAUUAACGAUCUAUUGGGACACCCUGUACAGUCACAGUCUUGUGAUCCCGUAGGAUACACAUCUCAGUCUAACGCCCCGAGGGACGUACAUAUCAGUCUAGUGUUCUGCAGAAACACAUAUCAGUCUAAUGCUCCCGAAGGUGCAAAAUAAAUUGGUGAUCCCGUGGGACACCUACAAGGUACACAUCCCAAUAAAUCUAACAAUUUUCCCCUCAUUCCAUUCAAUCCAUCCUUCAGUUGCUUCAAAACAUAAAAUUUUUUCUCUCAACGUCCUAACAGUCAACUUACUUUACUUUAGUCAUCUGUCCGUCAAUAAUAUACUAAUACGUCAGUCAAUCAACUAUACAGUCAAUACACCCCUCAGUUCACCAGCACACAAUCAUACUUUAGCGUAAUCGUACACCCAAUCUAAACGAGAAUCACAAGUUCAUAUCUACAUCUCAUACCAACACAAUCUACAAUCUUCGUCAUGUCCACAUACACACACUUAUAUAUAUUUUCCAUGACAUUCACGAUAUACAUUCGACGUUAUGUCUACUUCAAUUCACAUGCAUUCAUAUAUAUUUUCAGUCAAACCACAGUAUACAUUCAACACACAUACAAUUCACAAUCACAAUUGAGCCCAGUAGAAAAUCCCUUACCUGAAAGUUAGGGAAGCUCCUUAAUCAACUAACGUCCUCGAAACAAUCCUAAGCAUAACAACACAAAAUUCAAUUACUUUCACAAUACAUAUCCCACUUAUUUUCCUCAACGUAAGUUUCAACUCACCGAUAUAAUGGCGAACUGAACCUUCAACAAUUCACAAUCUGGUUGUGAAUGUAAGGGAGCCUAACGUUACUCCCAACACCUCAACGCACGACUCGAACUCGCAGCAAAAUCCUAAGUGUGGGUCGGUUAGCGGUCGGCCAAAGGGAACGUGGCGGCUGGGCUUCACAGAUGGAGACCGUCACGAACAGACCGCGAAUCUGAACGGUUACAGCAACUAGUCGGCCGACGUCGAUAGCAGGUGGAGCGGCGGUUGUGAGCGGGGAGCGUGGUCGACGGAGACAGAAUCGGCGAUGGAGACGGCAGAUUGGCGCGCGGGACGACUGCUGCAAGGUUGCUUCGCGAACCGGAGAUGGCGGCCGACGGUUGCAGACGGAGAGGCUGCAGCGGCAGCUGGGUAUGGUAGAAAAGAAAGAGAAACGGAAGAAGAGAAAUUUGGGGUGGCCGGCCGUAGAAAACAAAAAGAAAAGAGGAAGAAAAAAGAAGAAAGAAAAGAGAAAGGAAAAGAGAAGGAAGAAAAGAGAUGGUUGUGGUCGUAGGUUGAACACGAAGAGAAAGGAAGAAGAUGAAUAGGAAAAGAGAAAAAUAAAAUAAAAUAUUAUAAGUAUAUUUUUUUCUUUCUUUUUCUUUUCUUUUAUUAUUAUUCCUUUUUCUUUUUUUUUCUUAAAAUAGAAUUAUUAUUAAUAAUAAUAUGAUUAUAAUAUAUUAUUAUUACUUUUCUGUUUCCUUUACUUUUCCUCUUCCCAAAACAAACAUUCUAUCUCUUCAUUAAAUACUAUCAAUUCCAACUUUUUAUCCCUUCUUUAAAAUAACAAAAUUUUAUAUUAUUCAAACUAAUUAUAUUAUUUCCAAUAAUAUAAUUUUCUCAUCCUUCCAUAACAUCAAACACAUAUAUCUAUACUCAAAAUCCUAAAAUAAAUUACCAAGAUCAUUCUCUUUUAUUCAUCCAUAACAAUAUAAAAAAAAUCAAUUUUCAUAAUUAAUUAAAUAUUCUUCCAUAAAUAUUCAAUUAAUUAUAAUCUUCACAAAACAAACAAAUCUCUUAAUUUAUCUAAAAUAACACCCAAAUAAUUCCAACUUAAAUUCAAUUCCAUUAAGAUAAAUUAAAUUUAAAAUUACCUUAAAUUUUGAGAUGUUACAAUAUAGUUUACUACAUGUUGUUACAACAUACUUAAGAUAUAAAUGUUUAUAUGACUAACAACAUAAUAUUACUAUAAGAUAAACAAAAAAAUAAAGAACAGAUUGAAUUGAAAAAUAUUUUCGAUUACUGUAUGUCACUAUAUAUGUCUGAUUGUAUAUAUCUCUAAGCAAUAUUACAUAAUGAGGUAGUAUAUAUGUAACAAAUCACAUAAUAUAUAUGUAUUAUGGAGUAGUAUAAAUGUAAUUGUUGAGCAACAAAUUUCAACCAAUGAAAUUACACCACGUCGUCGCACCCAAGUUGUGAUGAUUAUAAUUUGAUUGGAUUUGGGUAGUCAAGUUUUCCAACCCAAUUCAAGCCCCUGAUAAAAAAUCAGGCCAAACAAAGGGGCCUAAGCCCACUAAGAAAAUGGGCCCAAGCCCAAGUCCAAGCUCAACAACACAACAAGCAAAUGGGUCCAAGCCCACAUAAAGUCAACAAAUUUUCUCUAUAAGUAGAGACCUUUGUCAUUCAUUCGAGAGAUCUUUUGUUGAAGGAAGAAAUGAAGAUCUGAAGUACUGAAGCUUUGAAGAAUUGAAGAUUCAAACUUCUAUAGAGCUCUCAAGACGUGCAAGUUCUUAUCAACUUCGAGAUCAUCAUCUUCUGAAAUAUUGAAGACUUGGAAGAUCAAAAUUUCCUUAAAUUCCAGAAGACUGAAGCUGAAAUAGACCGAACCAUUUAAAUUCGGUUUGGACUAUUUGAGACAGCAACAAACUGUGUUUUUUGUUUUGUACAUAAAUGGUGUGGUUUGAUUCGGUUUUAACAAGCGGUUCAAUUUACACCGUUUAGACUUGAUCUUAUAUAAUGUGAAAUUAUUUUUUUUCUUUGAAUUUUUAUCUAAGUGUACUCAAAUUGUAUACCAUGUUACAAAAUUAAUUGCAAUAAAUUUUUUAAAAUUUUCAAAAAUAUCAUAAAUUGACUAAUAUUUUAUACAAAUAUAGAGUAAAAAUGACCAAUUUACUCUUUUUAUUAUUAAUAAUAUAUUAAAAAUAAAAAAAAAAAGUGAACCACGUUUAAGAUUUUCAUUUAUUAAAUAUUCUAUUAAAAUAUGGAUUAAAUUCUAUUAAAGUAAUAUUAAUAAUAAAAAUUGUCCUUAGUUUGCUUUUUAUGAUUUUAUUAAAAAAUUGUCCUUUUUUAUUUUGCAUUCUUUUUCAUAUAUUUUAUAUAAUUAUAGUAUAUAUUGAAUAAUAUAAUGUAUAUUUUAUUAGUGAAAUGUUCUUAUAUCAAUUUAUUUAUUUAUUUUAUUUCAAAUGACAUUAUAUCCUUUUUUAUUUUGCAUUCUUUUUCAUAUAUUUUAUAAAACACGUUUCCUAUGGCAUCACGCUUCCUUCCUGCCCCUCGCCUGUUUGCCGCCUUUAUUACCUUUGCAUGAAAAUUAAACAUAAGAAGGGUGAGUAUUUUAAAUACUCAGUAAGAGACCCUCUACUGGUCUCGUCAGGGGAAAAUAAAUUGUUAAAGUUCUAUUGGGACACCCUGUACAGUCGCAGUCUUGUGAUCCCGUAGGAUACACAUAUCAGUCUAACGCCCCGAGGGACGUACAUAUCAGUCUAGUGUUCUGCAGAAACACAUAUCAGUCAAAUGCUCCCGAAGGUGCACAAUAAAUUGGUGAUAUAGAUAUACACACCUAAUCUAAACGAGAAUCUCAUACAAACACAAUCUACAAUCUCCGUCCUGUCCACAUACACACAUUUAUAUAUAGAUUCCAUGACAAUCACGACAUACAUUCGACGUCAAGUCUACUUCAAUUCAUAUACAUUCAUAUAUAUUUUCAGUCAACCCCAGUAUACAUUUAACACACAUACAGCUCACAAUCACAGUUCACAAUCACAAUUGAGUCCAGUAGAAAAUCCCUUACCUGGAUCUUUAUAUAAAAUUCCUUAGUCGAACUAACUUCAACAAACAAACCCCAAGAGUAAAGAAUCGAACUCCAACAAAGCUUAAGGCGUAACUCAAGGACACUAACUCCAAAUCACCGAUGUCGCCUUCAAGAACAAAGAUCAAUUCAACCAAUUAAACAACAUCACAUCUUAAUGUAUUUACAAAUGUAAGACCUUAUUACCGAACAAUCUCAUCCUUACCAAUAUCUUGUAACAAGACUUUGACAAUCGACGUUAAAUAGAAGUUGCCGCAGGAUCUACACAAAAGACAUCGUGCAAAACACUUUUGCACGCGAACUGGUCCGCGAUUCGUAAAUGGGACAGCGGGUAUCGACGAAGGCAGAACGGUUCGGACGUUCAACAGCAGUUACGCGUGGACGGGAGUAGCCCGGCAACGUAGCCGAAUUCGUGCGAUGCGGCGUGACCUGCGUCGGCGAGGCUGUUCGUGACUGAGGCGUGCGACUUGCCUCGCGGACGGAGAUAGAGACGGCGGAGACGGUUGCAGAACCGUGGCUUCGACAGAGACAGAACCGGCUGAGACGGCUGGGCAGCGGCGGAAGAGCAACGGCGCCGCAUAUCUGGACUGGCAGCAGCGCGGUCUUGCUUCGCGGCGGGGCUGCGGACGGAAGAAGAAAAUGGAAGGAAAGGACCGGAGAUUGGCUGCGGCAGGACGGGAAGAAGAAGAUAGAGGUGGUGGUUGCGGCGGAAAGAAAAACGGAAGGGAAGGGAGGCGACGGUUUGCGAACGGGAGAGAAGGGGGAAGGGAUCGGCGCACACGCAGAAGAAGAAGGAAGAAAAGAAAAGAAAAAGAAAAAGAAGAAAAGUAAAAAUAAUAAAGAAAUUUUUUAAUAUUAAAAUAAUAUAUAUAAAAAUAAAAAAAAUAUAUAUAUAUAUAUAUAUUUACCUUUUCUUUGGGCAUUACAUUCUUCCCUCCUUAAGAAACUUUCGUCCUCGAAAGUUCUAAUCCUGAAAUAACUCUGGAUAACGAGUCCUCAUCUCUUCUUCUCGCUCCCAUGUCGCCUCUUCAAUUCGAUGAUUCUGCCACAAAACCUUUACUAAUGGAAUGCUUCUAUUACGAAGCAUCUUUACCUCUCUAGCCAGAAUCUCCACAGGUUGUUAUACAUAGCUCAAAUGCUCAUCAAUCUCCAAGGGUUCAUAGUCCACUACAUGAGAUGUAUCGGCCACAUACUUCCUCAACAUCGAAACAUGGAAAACAUUAUGAACUGCAGAGAGAGAUGGUGGUAAUGCCAAGCGAUACGCCACAACACCAACCCUCUCUAAGAUCUCAAAUGGUCCAACAAAACGAGGACUUAACUUUCCUUUCUUCUCAAAACGCAUAACACCCUUCAUAGGUGCUACCUUCAAGAAUACCUUUUCUCCCACAUCGAACUUAAGGUCUUUUCGCCGUACAUCCGCAUAACUCUUUUGUCUACUCUGCGCUGUUUGCAUACGUGCUCUAAUCUUUUAAAUAGCCUCAUUAGUAGACCGAACUAAUUCAGGUCCCAUCAAUCUAUGUUCACCAACCUCACUCCAACAAACAGGGGUUCUACAACAUUUGCCAUACAAAGCCUCAAAUGGUGCCAUACCGAUGGUAGCCUAGAAACUGUUGUUAUAAGCAAACUCCAUCAAAUGUAGAUGAGAGUCACAACUACCUGGAAACUCUAUAACACAAGCUCGUAGCAUAUCCUCUAAAACUUGGUUCAAACGUUCAGUUUGACCAUCAGUCUGUGGAUGAAAGGCUGUACUAAAAUCCAAUCUCGUACCCACAGCAGUCUGAAGUCCCUUCCAAAACUUGGAAGUAAACCGUGCAUCCCUAUCAGAAACAAUCGAUACAGGCACUCCAUGCAGUCUCACAAUCUCAGUUAAAUACAGCUCUGCCCACUUAUUAGCAGUAUAAGUGGAUUUUCCUGGUACAAAAUGUGCCGAUUUCGUAAGCCUGUCUAUGACAACCAGAAUCACUGUGAAACCCUUCAGGGUCUUAGGCAGCCCUGAAAUAAAAUCCAUCGACACAUUCUCCCACUUCCACUCUGGCACACUUAAGGGUUGUAACAAACCUGCUGGUUUCUGUCUAGGUGCCUUAACUUGCUGACAUACUAGACACUUACUAACAAAUUCCGCCACUUCCCUUUUCAUAUUCCGCCACCAGUAAAAUUGUUUUAAAUCCUGAUACAUUUUCGUGCUACCAGGAUGCAUUGAAAAUGGGGAAUUAUGGGCUUCAUCUAGUAAGUCAAUCUUAACUGUACUGUUCGCUGGCACACACAAACGUCUUUCAAACAUCAACCCACCAUCAGAGGAUAUGGAGAACUCAUCAGUCUGCCCUGUUUCAACAAGGCGACGUCUCUCCAUCAAAUAAGGAUCACUACUUUGAGCAUCAACAAUCUUCUGCCUCAGAGUCGGUUGCACCGUUAAUUGAGCCAGCUGUGAGGUGACUCUUCCCACAGACACUGCAAUCUCAACUCUCUCCAAGUCUCGAUGCAAUGGUACCUGUCUAGUAAUGAGUGCUGCCGAAUGUGAUACUUUUCUACUAAGAGCAUCAGCCACCACAUUCGCCUUACCAGGAUGGUACAAUAUCUCGCAGUCAUAAUCUUUUACCAACUCGAGCCACCUUCGUUGUCUCAUAUUCAACUCCUUCUGAGUGAAGAAGUACUUUAGGCUCUUAUGGUCAGUAAAGAUUUGUAUCUUUUCACCGUACAAGUAAUGUCUCCAUAUCUUCAAUGCAAAAACCACUGCUGCCAACUCCAAAUCAUGUGUGGGGUAGUUCUGCUCGUGACUCUUCAACUGACAAGAGGCAUAAGCAACCACCUUACCUUUCUGCAUCAAAACACAACCCAGUCCUUUCUUGGAAGCAUCACUAUAAAUCACAAAACUUCCAGAUCCAUCGGUACAGUAAGGACCGGUGCAGUAACUAACCUUUGCUUUAAGUUCUGAAAACUAUCCUCACAAGCUGGACUCCAAACAAACGGAGUUCCCUUCCUUGUCAACUGAGUCAAAGGAGUAGCCAAACGUGAAAAAUCCUCCACAAACCUCCGGUAGUACCCUGCUAAACCCAGAAAACUACGAACCUCACUAACUGUAGAGGGUCGAGACCAACUGGUAACCGCUUCUAUCUUUGCAGGGUCUACUGAAACUCCCUCACUGGAAACCACAUGACCAAGAAAAGCCACCUGCUUCAACCAAAAUUCGCACUUAGAGAACUUAGCAUACAGUUUAUUGACUCGAAGAGUCUCUAACACCUUAUGUAAGUGUUCCUCAUGUUCGGCUUCAGUCUUGGAAUAAACCAAAAUAUCAUCAAUGAAGACUAUCACAAAAGUGUCCAAGAAAUCCUUAAACACCCUGUUCAUCAAAUCCAUAAAUACAGCAGGUGCAUUAGUCAAACCAAAAGACAUUACUAUGAAUUCAUAAUGUCCAUACCUCGAACGAAAAGCAGUCUUAGGAAUAUCACGGUCUCUAAUCCUCAACUGGUGAUAAUCUGACCGUAAGUCAAUCUUAGAGAACACCGUGGCUCCCUGUAACUGAUCGAACAAAUCAUCGAUUCUGGGUAAAGGAUAUCUGUUCUUGACUGUUACUUUAUUCAACUCUCUAUAGUCAAUGCAAAGACGCAUCGACCCAUCCUUCUUCUUCACAAACAAUACUGGUGCACCCCAAGGUGACACACUAGGUCGAAUAAAGCCUUUGUCAAGCAAUUCCUGUAACUGUACCUUCAGUUCUUUCAACUCAGCAGGAGCCAUCCUAUAAGGGGCUCUAGAAAUAGGAGUAGUGUUUGGCUCCAACUCAAUGGCAAAAUCAACCUCUCUAUGUGGCGGUAGUCCUGGAAGAUCUUUUGGAAAUACAUCUGGGUAGUCUCUUACCACAGGUUCUGAAGUUAAAGAAGUCUCACCUUCCCUAGUAUCCACCACACUUGCCAAAAUACUCCAAGUACCCUGGUUGAGUAGUUUACUAGCUUUCAUAGCUGAGAUUACUUUAGGCAGUACUACUGUUCCUACCCCCUUGAAUUUAAAGCUAGAUGCAGUAGGGGGACUGAACACAACUUCCUUACGAGAACAAUCAAUACUAGCAUGAUUAGUAGCUAGCCAAUCCAUACCUAAAAUUACAUCAAAGUCACGCAUAUCUAAUACCAACAAGGUUACGUCCAGCACACGACCAGCUAUCUCAAUUUCACAUGCUUUAAUCUUUUCCUUAGACAACAUAAUUUCUCCAGACGGUGUAGACACUGACAAAACAUAGUCUAAGGGUUCCACCUCUAAGCAUGCAUGCGUCACAAAAAGCGAUGAAAUAAAUGAAUGAGAAGAUCCCGAGUCAAACAAGGUCAAGGCAAAAUGCCCUAACACUGGUAAUGUACCUGUCACUACUGUGCCGGCCUUCUCUGCCUCUGAUCUAUUAGUGGCAAAGAUUGUACCCCGCUGUGGAGGUCUCUCUCCCUGACUGCUCGAUCCAGCCCCAGUAGAUCUCAAGGGACACCUAUCAGCCAUGUGUCCCUCUUGCUUGCACUUAUAACAGACUCUCGUUCCCAUCAAACAACGACCCAGGUGGCGUUUCCCACACGUAUUACAUACUGGCCUCUCUCGAGUAGUGUCUCCUGCACCGCCAGAACUCUGCUGGAAACUGCGAAAAGGAUCGCCUGGUCUCAAGUUCCUCUGAGGAACUCCUACAGUUCUCUGCUCUACUUUUCUCUUUUGACCCGACGACGAUCCCUUAUCAAAGCUCCUUGGCUGUAUUUCAUCCUUCCCAAUGCUCAUAUCCACUGCCAGACGCAGUGCUUCAGCUUGGGUAGUGGGCUUUAGUGCUCGCACAAAGCCCCUAAUUUCAUCUCUCAAUCCCUUGACGAACCUAUCAGCUCUAGCCUGCUCAUUACUAACAAGCUCAGGGGCAAAACGUGACAGCAUAUCAAACUCCUGGUCGUACUCCUCGACUGUCAUAUAUCCUUGCUUCAACUCCAAGAAUUCCUGGCUUUUGGCGUCUCUAAGGUUAGCCGAGAAAAACUUGGUAUAGAAGCAGUCCUUAAACUGAUCCCAGGUAAUUUGCCUCACAUCUCCACCUAGCAUGCGCAUUGUAGUCCUCCACCAGAUAAUGCCUCUGUCCCUCAGUAGAAAAGCAGCACACUGAACUCUGUGCUCCUCGGGACAUCUCAUGUAAUUAAAUAUGGUUUCCACAGAGGACAACCACAUUUCAGCUUUAGUAGGAUCCUCCAGUGACCCAUCAAACGUCUGAGGGUCAUACUUCCGAAAGUCCCUCAAAUGUUUCGCCUCAGCAGAAAGUUGGUUCGGUAAUCCUUGUGCAGGAGGGGCUGCUGGUGCAGGGGGAACUACAGGUGCAGGUGGAACCGCAGGUGCCUGCUGGUUUUGAGCUAUAGCUGUCAUAAGUUCUGUAAACCUCUGCUCCAUGUGAGCAGACAGUGCAUCAAACUCAACGUGAGUCACGGGUGCAGCAGGAAUUCGCUGUUCAGCUUGACCCUCAGUAGGCUGAUUACGACCUGCUCCUCUACCUCGGCCUCCUACUCCUCUCUACCUCGGCCUCUACGACCUCCUCUACGUACACCUUCCCUUGGCGGCAUAAUUCCUAUUAUCCACCAACAACACUCUUUAACAAAAUCUUAAUCAUAAGCAUAAGCAAGUCUUUAUCGUCAUGCAAUCUAGUUUAAUUUAGGCAAGGUCAUGCAAAUAAACCAUACAUAUAAGCAUCAAGCAUACCUGACGAGAGACGAAGGGUCGCGUUAGCCAAAGGAACACAAAAACAUAGACUUACAUCGUAAGUCAGUCUACAGAACCUAAAACUUAGGCUCUGAUACCAACUGUAACGACCCAACUUUUCUAAGUAAGUCGAGAUCGUUAAUUUUUAACAAAUAAAGACUUUGAUUAAUAUAAAACAAAACGUAAGCAAUUUAAAAAAAAAAACAUCUUCAAGUCAGGCCUGAUUUUUAAACAUUCAAGAAAACAUAAAAUAGUACUAUUUACAACAAACGUUUGUAAACUAAAUUUCAAUUCAUUUUAAACCUCACAAGAACCCAUAAGCGGAAGCAAAAAAACACGUUUCCUAUGGCAUCACGCUUCCUUCCUGCCCCUCGCCUGUUUGCCGCCUUUAUUACCUUUGCCUGAAAAUUAAACAUAAGAAGGGUGAGUAUUUUAAAUACUCAGUAAGAGACCCUCUACUGGUCUCGUCAGGGGAAAAUAAAUUGUUAAAGUUCUAUUGGGACACCCUGUACAGUCGCAGUCUUGUGAUCCCGUAGGAUACACAUAUCAGUCUAACGCCCCGAGGGACGUACAUAUCAGUCUAACGCCCCGAGGGACGUACAUAUCAGUCUAGUGUUCUGCAGAAACACAUAUCAGUCAAAUGCUCCCGAAGGUGCACAAUAAAUUGGUGAUCCCGUGGGACACCUACAAGGUAAACAUCCCAAUACAAUCUAACAAUUUAUCCCCUCAUUCCAUUCAACCCAUCUUUCAGUUACUUCAAGUCACAAAGUUCUUUCUUUCAACAUCCUAACAGUCAACUUAUUUUACUACAGUCAUAUGUCUGUCAAUAAUAUGCUAAUACAUCAGUCAAUCCACUAUACAGUCAAUGCACCCCUCAGUUCACCAGCACACAGUCAUACUUUAGCGUAAUCAUACACCCAAUCUAAACGAGAAUCUCAUACAAACACAAUCUACAAUCUCCGUCCUGUCCACAUACACACAUUUAUAUAUAGAUUCCAUGACAAUCACGACAUACAUUCGACGUCAAGUCUACUUCAAUUCAUAUACAUUCAUAUAUAUUUUCAGUCAACCCCAGUAUACAUUCAACACACAUACAGCUCACAAUCACAGUUCACAAUCACAAUUGAGUCCAGUAGAAAAUCCCUUACCUGGAUCUUUAUGUAAAAUUCCUUAGUCGAACUAACUUCAACAAACAAACCCCAAGAGUAAAGAAUCGAACUCCAACAAAGCUUAAGGCGUAACUCAAGGACACUAACUCCAAAUCACCGAUGUCGCCUUCAAGAACAAAGAUCAAUUCAACCAAUUAAACAACAUCACAUCUUAAUGUAUUUACAAAUGUAAGACCUUAUUACCGAACAAUCUCAUCCUUACCAAUAUCUUGUAACAAGACUUUGACAAUCGACGUUAAAUAGAAGUUGCCGCAGGAUCUACACAAAAGACAUUGUGCAAAACACUUUUGCACGCGAACUGGUCCGCGAUUCGUAAAUGGGACAGCGGGUAUCGACGAAGGCAGAACGGUUCGGACGUUCAACAGCAGUUACGUGCGGACGGGAGUAGCCCGGCAACGUAGCCGAAUUCGUGCGAUGCGGCGUGACCUGCGUCGGCGAGGCUGUUCGUGACUGAGGCGUGCGACUUGCCUCGCGGACGGAGAUAGAGACAGCGGAGACGAUUGCAGAACCGUGGCUUCGACAGAGACAGAACCGGCUGAGACGGCUGGGCAGCGGCGGAAGAGCAAUGGCGCCGCAGAUAUGGACUGGCAGCGGCGCGGUCUUGCUUCGCGGCGGGGCUGCGGACGGAAGAAGAAAAUGGAAGGAAAGGACCGGCGGCUGGCUGCGGCUGGCUGCGGUUGGCUGCGGCGGGACGGGAAGAAGAAGAUAGAGGUGGUGGUUGCGGCGGAAAGAAAAACGGAAGGAAAGGGAGGCGACGGUUUGCGAACGGAAGAGAAGGGGGAAGGGAUCGGCGCGCACGCAGCAGAAGAAGAAGGGAGAAAAGAAAAGAAAAAGAAAAAGAAGAAAAGAAAAAUAAUAAAGAAAUUUUUUAAUAUUAAAAUAAUAUAUAUAAAAAUAAAUAAAUAAAUAAAUAAAUAAAUAUAUAUAUAUAUAUAUACCUUUUGUUUGGGCAUUACAGGUUCGGUUUCAAUGAAGAUUUUUUUUAUCAUUUUGCGGUUCGAUGCGGUUUUAGCUUCAAACCGAACCGCGAACACCACUAAUAUGUAAUGUUGAGAUCAACUGAAUAUGUUUGUAAUGUAGGGACUUUGAUGAAAGAAUUGAAGAUUCAGGAAAUUGUAUGAAAAAAAAUGGUUGAAUGUUAAAUUGACUUAUGAAUAGUGUAUAUGAAACAAUACAUUAUAUAUUUUAUGAAUGAAAUGUUAUGCAAUCAAUUUGUUAAACUGGUUUAUUUAUUUUAUUUCAAAUAUUUAUUUUAUAUGUAAUAAAUAAUAAGUUAUGUUUGAAACAGCAGUAUAAGGAUAUAUCAUUAUAUAUAUUGUUCAUUUAAGGUUAGUAAGAAUUUUAUAUUUUGUAUUUGAAAUAUACUAUGAUAUAUUGAGUACAUCAAAGAUGACAUCAUUUAUGUACUAUUGAAAAUAUGAAGUAGUAUAUAUAUAUGUAACAAAUCACAUAAGAUAUAUGUAUCAUGUACUAGUAUAUACGUCAUUAUUUAUAUAUACACACCUAAUGAAAAAAAGUAGAGUGUGUGGGACCCACGUAUAUAAAUAAUGAGAAAAUAAAAAAUGUUGACCCAAUGUAAUAUAUAUAUAAAGUAAAAAAUAAACUAUGUAGGGUCCACUGCAUGAAAAUUGUGUAGGGGUACAAAACUUCACCUCAACUCACCUAUUUUUGUCAAUAGUUUUGCAUUCACCUACUUUUGACAUAUGUUUCAAAAUUUACAUUAUUUUUUAAAAAAAGUUCUAUACAUAAUAAAUAAUAACUCGUGAUUGAAACAAGAGUGGUUAUGUAUGAAGGAUAGUAUAUUAAAUAUAAUAAAUUGAAAAACUUUGAUUGGUACCGUAGAUGAAAAUUUAUGAAAAAAUAUAGAAAUAAAAUAACUAAAUUAAAAACAGAAAUAUGAAUAUUUCAAAUAAAAGUAUAAAUCAACAUACUAAUAGUUUAAUAAUAAGAAAGAAAAAUUAGUUCGAUAAGGAAAGCUUGCAUCUCUUUCGUUUAUGACAACCACAUUUAAAACUUCAUUUUAGAAUGAAUUCUAAUAUUUUUUUUGUUGACCAACUGAACGUUUUACAUUCAAUGGGAUGAUGUCAACUUCAAUUACUGUAUUAUUGAAUAUAUGCAUUAGUAUGUAUGUAACAAAUCAAAUAAAAUACUAAUCGAAUAUAGAAAAAUAUAAAGAAAAUGAUACAAAACGUGAAGGAAAAAAACUGAACUAUAUAUGUGUCACAAAAUACGUGUUAUUAUAUUUAUAUAAAUGUAUAUAUUGAUAACAUCACCUGUCUAUGUAGUGAUAUAUAUUGAAAUUCAACUAUAAAUUAUGUAGAACUAUAUGUCACUAAAUAUUUAUGUUGUAAAUAAGGUGUAUCUAUAUAUUAAAUCACAUCAUAAACAUAUUAUAAUUUACGAGUAUAUUAUAGUAUAUAUUGUUCAUUUAAAAAAUAUAUGACAAAUAGAAGGUAUAUAAUUAUACGAAGUGAGAAUAUGUAUGUAUGAUAUUCUCACUGCAUAUUAUAUAUACACUAAGAAUGUGUAUUUUACUGUUUUAGUAGUAUUUACUAUAUAAAUAUAUAUUUUAAAUAUUAAUUAUUAAUGAAUAUAUAUAUUACUACAUGUGGUUACAACAUACUUAAGAUAUAAAUGUUUAUAUGUAAAGUCCCAAAGGUAAAAAUAUAUAUAUAUAUACAUUUUUUUUUCUUUUCUUUUCUUUUUCUUUUCUUUUCUCUCUUCUCCUUCCUCCCCGUGCGUUCUCCUUCCCGUUCGCAGCAACCGCCGCCCCAUCUAUUCUCCUUCCGUUCGUGCGCAACCGCGGCCCAACCGCCCCAUCCGUUCGCACAGCAACCGCCGUCGGCCAUCUCCAUCUUCUCUUCUCCUCUCCGUUCCGUCCAAACCCAGAUCCGUCGCUGCAACCGUCAGCCGGUUCGUGAAGUGCCGUACGCGUCACCUUGCAGCAGUCGUCCAGAUCUGCAUCGCCGUGCCUGUUCCUUUCUCCUCCGUUUUCUUCCCGCCGCGGAUCCAAGUCGAUCUCUUCCUAAAUUACGUGUCCCCUAUCAAGUCGACGUUCUUCUGCUCGUUGUAAGACGGAGUUACGAUUUGAAGCCGAUUUUCUUUUCCAGUUGAGUCGCAUUCAGUGUUGCUCUAUUUACAACCGCUUGAUUCGUUCUUGAUUGUCAUUUUUGCCUCGCCGUGAACCAUUGGGCUCAUAUUUGGGUAAGAACAAGUUAUGGUUUUUUUGUGGUUUCUUGGUUUUUGUUGAAUGCUGCCAUUGGAUUUAAUUGUUGGCGAAAUGCUUAAUUCUUGAAUGUACAUCUUGAUUCAGUGAGCGAAUCCUUGAUUUUCCAAAAGGUUGAAGUGGACUUGAUUUUCCACUUCUUGGGUAAGUUGUGGAAUUUACGUAUGGGAUAAUUUGAAUGGUUGAAACUAUUUAGAAAGAUGUUGAUUUUAUGAUUGAUUAUGUUUAGGAUUUGAUUCAUUGGAUUUAGUAGAUUGAAGAAGCUUCCCCAACUUUGAGGUAAGGGAUUUUCUACUGGACUCAAUUGUGAUUGUGAACUGUGAUUGUGAACUGCAUGUGUGUUGAAUGUAUACUGUGGGCUGACUGAAAAUAUAUAUGAAUGUAUAUGAAUUGAAGUAGACUUGACGUCGAAUGUAUAUCGUGAUUGUCAUGGAAUCUAUAUAUAAAUGUGUGUAUGUGGACAGGACGGAGAUUGUAGAUUGUGUUUGUAUGAGAUGCAGAUGUGAAUCUUGUGAUUUUCGUUUAGAUUGGGUGUAUGAUUAUGCUAAAGUAUGACUGUGUGCUGGUGAACUGAGGGGUGCAUUGACUGUAUAGUGGAUUGACUGAUGUAUUAGCAUAUUAUUGACAGACAUAUGACUGUAGUAAAAUAAGUUGACUGUUAGGAUGUUGAAAGAAAGAACUUUGUGACUUGAAGUAACUGAAAGAUGGGUUGAAGGGAAUGAGGGGAAAAUUGUUAGAUUGUAUUGGGAUGUUUACCUUGUUGGUGUCCCACGGGAUCACCAAUUUAUUGGGCACCUUCGGGAGCAUUAGACUGAUAUGUGUUUCUGUAGAACACUAGACUGAUAUGUACGUCCCUCGGGGCGUUAGACUGAGAUGUGUAUCCUACGGGAUCACAAGACUGCGACUGUACAGGGUGUCCCAAUAGAACUUUAACAAUUUAUUUUCCCCUGACGGGACCAGUAGAGGGUCUCUUACUGAGUAUUUAAAAUACUCACCCUUCUUAUGUUUAAUUUUCAGGCAAAGGUAAUAAAGGCGGCAAACAGGCGAGGGGCAGGAAGGAAGCGUGAUGCCAUAGGAAACGUGUUUUUGCUUCCGCUUAUGGGUUCUUGUGAGGUUUAAAAUGAAUUGAAAUUUAGUUUACAAACGUUGGUUGUAAAUAGUAUUAUUUUAUGUUUUCUUGAAUGUUUAAAAAUCAGGCCUGACUUGAAGAUGUUUUGUUUUUAAAUUGCUUACGUUUUAUUUUAUAUUAAUCAAAGUCUUUAUUUGUUAAAAAUUAACGAUCUCGACGUACUUAGAAAAGUUGGGUCGUUACAUUAUAUGACUAACAACAUAAUAUUACUAUAAGAUAAACAAAAAAAUAAAGAACAGAUUGAAUUGAAAAAUAUUUUCGAUUAUUGUAUGUCACUAUAUAUGUCUGAUUGUAUAUAUCUCUAAGCAAUAUUACAUAAUGAGGUAGUAUAUAUGUAACAAAUCACAUAAUAUAUAUGUAUUAUGGAGUAGUAUAAAUGUAAUUGUUGAGCAAGAAAUUUCAACCAAUGAAAUUACACCACGUCGUCGCACCCAAGUUGUGAUGAUUAUAAUUUGAUUGGAUUUGGGUAGUCAAGUUUUCCAACCCAAUUCAAGCCCCUGAUAAAAAAUCAGGCCAAACAAAGGGGCCUAAGCCCACUAAGAAAAUGGGCCCAAGCCCAAGUCCAAGCUCAACAACUCAACAAGCAAAUGGGUCCAAGCCCACAUAAAGUCCACAAAUUUUCUCUAUAAGUAGAGACCUUUGUCAUUCAUUCGAGAGAUCUUUUGUUGAAGGAAGAAAUGAAGCUCUGAAGUACUGAAGCUUUGAAGAAUUGAAGAUUCAAACUUCUAUAGAGCUCUCAAGACGUGCAAGUUCUUAUCAACUUCGAGAUCAUCAUCUUCUGAAAUAUUGAAGACUUCGAAGAUCAAAAUUUCCUUGAAUUCCAGAAGACUGAAGCUCAAAUAGACCGAACCAUUUAAAUUCAGUUUGGACUAUUUGAGACAGCAACAAACUGUGUUUUUUGUUUUGUACAUAAAUGGUGUGGUUUGAUUCGGUUUUAACAAGCGGUUCAAUUUAUACCGUUUAGACUUGAACUUAUAUAAUGUGAAAUUAUUUUUUUUUCUUUGAAUUUUUAUCUAAGUGUACUCAAAUUGUAUACCAUGUUACAAAAUUGCAAAAUUUUUUUUAAAAUUUUCAAAAAUAUCAUAAAUUGACUAAUAUUUUAUACAAAUAUAGAGUAAAAAUGAUCAAUUUACUCUUUUUAUUAUUAAUAAUAUAUUAAAAAUAAAAAAAAAAGUGAACCACGUUUAAGAUUUUCAUUUAUUAAAUAUUCUAUUAAAAUAUGGAUUAAAUUCUAUUAAAGUAAUAUUAAUAAUAAAAAUUGUCCUUAGUUUGCUUUUUAUGAUUUUAUUAAAAAAUUGUCCUUUUUUAUUUUGCAUUCUUUUUCAUAUAUUUUAUAUAAUUAUAGUAUAUAUUGAAUAAUAUAAUGUAUAUUUUAUUAGUGAAAUGUUCUUAUAUCAAUUUAUUUAUUUAUUUUAUUUAAAUAUUCAUAUCUUACGUAGUAAAUAAUACAUUAUGUUUGAAAUAAUAUUAAUUAUAUAUGAAAGUUGUUUAUGUUUACAAGAACAUGAAUGAGAAAUAAUUAUGAUGAGUAUAUGUAAUAUAUGUCAUUAAAAUAUUUGUUAUUCUCUAGUAUAUGUAAUAGGGGUGUUCAAAAUGAAGUUGAAAGCUGAAUCGAAUCACUAAUCGAACCGAAAUCGAAUGCAUAUGGUUCGGUUCGAUUCGAUUUCUAUUUCAAAAAAACCACAUAAAAUUCGGUUCGGUUCAGUUUAAGAUGUUAAGAACCGAUUCUCAAACCGAACUGAAUUGCUUUAUUUUAAAAACUAAAUAUAUAUAUACAUAUAUAUGUUAAUAAUAAGACUUUUUUAGACUUCAAAGCGGGUAUAGAGGCAAAAAUCAAUGAGGAACGAAAAGGAGAAGAAUGACAUAAUCAAAACGUAAAUGACAAGUUGUCUUGACGAAGUUUGUAUGACUGUAGGACUUUUAUUCAUCUUAGGUGGAUUUUAAAACUUUUAUGUGUUGUUGGACUUUCAAAUUUCAAUGUUUGAAACAUCUAUGUCUGUAAUUUUGAAAUUUCUAUGUUUAUAACUUUGUAUAAGUCGUUCGGUUUUCACUACUACAAAAUGGGUUUACUUGACGCUAGCAACUUUUACAUACUGGACGUUUUUAUUAAAAAAACGUCAAGUAUGAACUAUGUUAAAGAAAAAGCGUCAAGUAUAGUCUUAAAAAAUAUGAAGUUUUCACGAAUUUUUUUUAAUUAUUUUAUGUUAGCUUUAUUUGACGUUUUUUUUUUUUUUGCGUCAAGUAUAAAGUAGAUUUUACUUGACAUUUUAUUCGAGUUAAAAGUAGUGAACAUUUACUUGACACAAAAAACAUGUCAGGUAUGGUUUUAAAAAAGAAAAUUUUUACGUUAACUUUUAUAUGACAUGGUUUUCGCGUCAAAUAUAGUGGAGAUUUAUUUGACAGUUUAUUCGCGUCAAAUAUAGUGGAGAUUUUACUUGACGUUUUUUUCGUGUCACGUAUAGUGGACAUUUACUUGACGCGAAAACAACGUCAAAUAUAGUUAACAUUUUUUAUUUAACACUUUUAAAAUGUCAAUUGCCAAAAUGUCAAAUAUAAAACGUUUAAAAAUAUGAAAAUAAAAAGUAUAAAAAUCAACUUAUUAAAAUAAUUUUUUAAAAUCAACUUAUUAAAAUAAUUUUUUUAAAAUCAACUUAUGAAAAUAAAUCUUUUGAAAUUUUUCACUUAAAUAAUUUGAAAUCUCUCAUUAAAUUAAAUUUACUAAAAUCUCUCGUUAAAAUAAAUUUGUUGAAAAUUUUCCUUUAAAUAAAAUUAUUGAAAAUAUUUCCUUAAAUAGAUUUAUUAAGAUAUUUUAAUGAAAAACUCAUUAAAUAAAUUUAUUAAAAUAUUAUUAAAUAAAAUUUUGAAAUCUUUCACUAAAACAAACUUUUACAAAUUUUGACUAAAAUAAAUUUGUUGAAAUCUUUACUUAAAUUAAAUUUAUUAAAAUCUUUCUUUUAAAUAAACCUAUUGAAAAUAUUUUAUUUAAAUAAAUUUAUUGAAACCAUUUCUUUAAAUAAAUUUAUUAAAACAUUUUAAUGAAAAGUUUAUUAAAUAAAUUUAUUAAAAUACUUUAAUAAAAAAUUGUUAAAUAAAUUUUUUGAAAUUUAUCACUAAAAUAAUUUUUUGAAUUCAUUAAAAUAAGUUUAUUGAAUCUUUCCUUUAAACAAUUUUAUUGAAAAUAUUUCAUUAAAUAAAUUUAUUAAAAUAUUUUAUACAAAAUUUAUAAAUAAAUUUAUAUAUUUUAAUGAAAUCUUUCAUUAAGUAAAUUUAUCAAAGUAUUUUGAUGAAAUGCUUAUUUAAUAAAUAUUAAAAUAUUUUAAUGAAAACAUUAUUAAAUGUAUUUGUUAAAAACUUUAACGAAAAUAUUAUGAAAUAAAUUUAUUAAAAAAAUUAAUAAAAGAUAAUUAAAUAAAUUUAUUGAAAUCUUUCAUUAAAAUAUUUUACCAAAACAGAUUUGCUGAACUGUUUCACUAAAUAAAUUUAUUUAAAUAUUUUCAUCAAAGAAAUUCAUUAAAAUAUUUUAUUGAAAUGAUUAUUAAUGAAAUUUAUUGAAACAUUUUAAUAAAUUUUAAAUGGAUCAACUUUUUCCAUUGUUUAGUUUUUAGUUUGCAGUGUAGAUUAAUAAUAGAUCCAAUUUAUUGGUAUAUCUCCAUAAUUAUUUACUUUUACACAUCAUUUAUCACUACUCACAUAAAAAAAAUUACAAAUUUUGUGACAUGAUUAGACAAUUUGAUAGACAAAAAUAGGUGAUAUACAGGAGAUGCAUAUCUAAAUAUUGUGUUGGUAAGUGAUAUAAUAUUAAGUUCUCGCACAUCAACUUGAUUUUAUGAAGUUUUGUUUAAUAAAAAAAUCAUUUUAUUAAAGUGAGCAUAUAUAACUCAAUUCAGUUAUUUACCAAAAAAAUUAAAAUCAAAAUAAUUUAGGGUUUCUUUUUUCUUUUUUUGUUUCUUUUUAUGGAAAGAUUGAAGAUCUUGGAAACCUAAAACAUAAUUUAAGAAAAUUGUUUAAUGAUAGCGAAAAUUAAGAAUAAAUUAAUAAAAACAAAUAAAUUGAAACAAAAACUCACAAACCGCUCUAUUUAAUUUUUUUAAAAUGAUAUAAUUAAAAAAAAUAUUAUCAAAAACUAAGAAAUAAAGAAAAAUAAUAAUAAUAACAAAUUGAAAACAAGGUACAAAUCUAUUGUUUUCUAAUUUUCACCCUUUCAACUUAUUUUCUAUUAUCAAUUCCUAAUUUCUCCUAUAAAAACCUUCUUUCCUAAUUCAAAAAAUAUUCAUAAUCUCAAAUCUUUAUAUUCUCAUGAUCAAUCCAUGGAUCUUCCUCAAAAGUUAACAAAAACUCAUGUAAUUUUCUUUCCUUUUUAAUGUUUCUUUCAUUUUUUUCUAUAGAAAUUUUCAUGUUGAUUAUUAAAAAUGAUUAGUGGGCUUUUUUUUCAACUUUCUCAAUAACACUUCUUUCCUUUUAUAUAUUGUUAAAAAAGGUAUCCAAUGGAAAUAUGAAAAAUUUAUUGCUUUUCAAGUUUUAACCUUAAAACAAUAUAUAUGGAAAAGAUUUAUAUUUAUAUAUUGUUAAAAAAGCUUGUUUUAUUUUAUAUUUAUAUAUGAAAAAGUAAUUUUUUGAAAAGUUUAUCAAAUAUAUUUAUUGAAAUAUUUUAAUUAAAUUUAUUAAAUUCAUUUAAUUAAAAAUAUCAAGUAAAUAUAUUAAAAUCUUUUAUUUCCCUAUUUUUAGUAAUCCCUCACGUCUCCACGAUGAAACCCUAUUCUCAUCUCCACGCUUCCACACAACACAGGCGAACGGCCACUUCUUCGAAUCGACGGACGACUUCCACACAACACAGAGUGGCAAACGGCGAAUGGCUUCCACACGACGAACGCUUCCACCCGGCGAACAGCUUCCACCCGGAAAACAGCUUCAACCCGUUGCGAACAGCUUCAACCCGACAAACAGCUUCAACCCGUUGCGAACAGCUUCAACCCGACGAACGGCUUCCACGCAGCGAACAACUUCCACAGUGAACGGCUUCCACGACUGCGAACAUCUUCCGCACGGCGAACUGCUUCCGCGUUCAAAGGUUUUUAUGCUCCUCAUUCUUAUUGUAUUUAACAUUUUUCAAUGAAUAAUGCUUCCUUGAAUUUGAUUUAUAUCUUGUAAUUAAGGAUGAUAUUGUAAACCCAAAGUGAGAAACACACAAAGAGAAGAAAAUUGAGAAUGACUCUUGUAUAUUUAUAUUUAUUUGUGUUAUAUGUUUAUGUUGUUUAUGUUCAAAUUCGUAAACAAAUGGUAUAAUCUAAUUGACAAAUAGAGAAGACCAUCAUUUUUCUUUAUUGUUGUUUUUUUACAGGAAUGAGUAAUGAAAAAUUAAGGGUGACUCUUGGAUGUUUUAGACCGUAAUUAAUUUGUUGUCGUUAUGGUUAUAAUUAUCAUAUUGAUUUGUUUAUAGUAAUGAGUAAUGAAUUGGUAUAUUUACUCUUGGUAAGAUUCAUACUUUUGAAUGCCAUUUUUUUUUUAUAGUAAUGAGUAAUGAAUUGAUCUUGUGUGCAUCAUCAUAUCCCAAUUACACAUGCAUCUUGGAAGCUGGUGCCGACUGAGUUGAAAGAAAAAGUAUACAAUAUGAUUGAGGUAUGUAAUCAUCCUUCUCAUUUGGAAAUCAUGCAAAUACUACACAUUUAUUGUAUAUUUUGAGUCAUACUAUCUUGUGGUUAUUCUGUAGCCUUAGUAGCCCCAUAGCUUGUAUAUUUUGAGUCAUACUAUCUUGUGGUUAUCCUGUAGCCUUGGUAGCCCCAUAGCCUUGGUCUUGUGGCUAUCCUGUAGCCUUGGUAGCCCCGUAGUCUUGGUAGCCAAUCAUGUAUAUAUUACACAAUUAUUGUAUAUUUUAAGUUGUAUUAUGUGUGGCUAUCCUGCUAUGGUAGCCAAUCAUGCAUAUAUUGGUAAAUGUAAAUAUAUUUAUAAAAUAAUUUUUAUUUUAAUCUAGCACAUAAUAUAAUAUAUAUGCAUUGUUAAUUGGUUGUGUUAUAGUGUUCUUUACAAGUAGGUACGGUUGAAUGUGGAUAUUAUGACAUGAGAUACAUGCAAGAAAUUGUGACUAAGGACACAAACAUUAUCACUGGUGCGGUAUGUUUUUAAACUAUUUACAUUGUAAAGUUAUAGAUAGUAUAUUAUGACUAACUCAAAUAUUUUACAAAGUGUAUUCUACUUUUUAUGUUUUAUAGAUUGAUACAAGAAGCCCAUACACACAGCUUGAAUUGGAUAGACGAGGGGAGUGGGCUGGAUUUUUAGCUCGGUACAUAUGAUAGACACACCUAGAUAUGAUCAUGUUAAUUUUGUAAAUGGCUAAGAUAUGGGAAUGCUCAUAACCUUUUUUGUGGAAACGUUUUGUUCAUAGCCAUUAUGAGGGCAAAAGAUAUAUGGGGAUAGGCUUCAAUUUUGAUUAUAUAAGACAACUAUUAUCAUUUAAUAUUUUGGAAUAGGACACAUAUAGGAAAUUUUAGUUGGCUAUAUUGGAUUGGAAUUGUGUAAUUGUUGAUGACAUUGUUGAGAAUAAUGAAACUAUUGUUGGUUUACAUAUUAUACUAAACUUUUUGUCCUUUUUUUUGUUGUGUAAUUGUUCGUUGGAGAAUUUGUUUUGUUUACGGAUAUGUCUUAUUGAAGUAAAUGUAUGUAAUGCAGGAAAUAAAAAAUGAAAAAAGAAAAAUUUAGUAUAUUUAAUGUAUUAAUAAAUGGUAUAAAUGACAUUAAAUACAUGUCACAUAUACUAUCUUAUUUGAGUCAAAUAUACCAUUUUACUUGAUGGAUAUAUAGUGUCAACUAUAAAAUUUUACUUGACAUAUACAUAAUGUCAAAUAUACUAUCUCACUUGACAGGUAAAUAGAGUCAAAUAUAUAUCUUACUCGACUUGUAAAUAUUGUCAAGUAUACUAUCUCACUUGACAGGUAAAUAGAGUCAAGUAUAUAAUUUACUCGACGUGUAAAUAUUGUCAAGUAUACUAUCUUACUUGACACAAAAAUGAUGUCAAGCAAUAGAGUACUUGACGUUUUUUUAGUGUCAAGUAAUAGAACUAUACUUGACAGUCGAUUACUUGACGCUUUUUAAAACGUCAAGUAUAGAUUUACAUGACACUUUAUUAAUGCCAAGUAAUUCAAUUUUUGUAGUAGUGUUUGAUUUGAUUUUAUUUAUGUAUAUGUGGUUCGGUUUUCAUUCGGUUUGGCAUAGAUGAGCGGUUCGGUUCGGUUUCAAUGAAGAUUUUUUUUAUCAUUUUGCGGUUCGAUGCGGUUUUAGCUUCAAACCGAAUCGCGAACACCACUAAUAUGUAAUGUUGAGAUCAACUGAAUAUGUUUGUAAUGUAGGGACUUUGAUGAAAGAAUUGAAGAUUCAGGAAAUUGUAUGAAAAAAAAUGGUUGAAUGUUAAAUUGACUUAUGAAUAGUGUAUAUGAAACAAUACAUUAUAUAUUUUAUAAAUGAAAUGUUAUGCAAUCAAUUUGUUAAACUGGUUUAUUUAUUUUAUUUCAAAUAUUUAUUUUAUAUGUAAUAAAUAAUAAGUUAUGUUUGAAACAACAGUAUAAGAAUAUAUCAUAAUAUAUAUUGUUCAUUUAAGGUUAGUAAGAAUUUUAUAUUUUGUAUUUGAAAUAUACUAUGAUAUAUUGAGUACAUCAAAGAUGACAUCAUUUAUGUACUAUUGAAAAUAUGAAGUAGUAUAUAUAUGUAACAAAUCACAUAAGAUAUAUGUAUCAUGUACUAGUAUAUAUGUCAUUAUUUAUAUAUACACACCUAAUGAAAAAAAGUAGAGUGUGUGGGACCCACGUAUAUAAAUAAUGAGAAAAUAAAAAAUGUUGGCCCAAUGUAAUAUAUAUAUAAAGUAAAAAAUAAACUAUGUAGGGUCCACUCCAUGAAAAUUGUGUAGGGGUACAAAACUUCACCCCAACUCACCUAUUUUUGUCAAUAGUUUUGCAUUCACCUACUUUUGACAUAUGUUUCAAAAUUUACAUUAUUUUUUAAAAAAAAUUCUAUACAUAAUAAAUAAUAACUCGUGAUUGAAACAAGAGUGGUUAUGUAUGAAGGAUAGUAUAUUAAAUAUAAUAAAUUGAAAAACUUUGAUUGGUACCGUAGAUGAAAAUUUAUGAAAAAAAUAUAGAAAUAAAAUAACUAAAUUAAAAACUGAAAUAUGAAUAUUUCAAAUAAAAGUAGAAAUCAACACACUAAAAGUUUAAUAAUAAGAAAGAAAAAUUAGUUCAAUAAGGAAAGCUUGCAUCUCUUUCGUUUAUGACAACCACAUUUAAAACUUCAUUUUAGAAUGAAUUCUAAUAUUUUUUUGUUGACCAACUGAACGUUUUACAUUCAAUGGGAUUGUAACGACCCAACUUUUAUAGGUAAGUCGAGGUCAUUAAUUUUUAACAAAAGACUUUGGUUGAUACAAAAUGAAACGUAAGUCAAUUUAAAAACAAUUUAUGUCAGGCCUGAUUUUCAAAUAUUCAAGAAAACUUAAAAAUAACACUAUUUACAAAUAAAAGUUUGUAAACUAAGUUUUUAGUACAUCUUAAACUUCAAAAGAAACCAUAUGCGGAAGCAAAAUGACACAUUUCCUAUGGCAAUCACGCUUCCUUCCUGCCCCUCGCCGGCUUGCCACCUUUAUUUCCUUUGCUUGAAAAUUAAACAUAAGAAGGGUGAGUAUAACAAUACUCAGUAAGAGACCCUCUACUGGUCUCGUCAGGGGAAAAUAAAUUGUUAAAGUUCUAUUGGGACACCCUGUACAGUCGCAGUCUUGUGAUCCCGUAGGAUACACAUCUCAGUCUAACGCCCCGAGGGACGUACAUAUCAGUCUAACGCCCCGAGGGACGUACAUAUCAGUCUAGUGUUCUGCAGAAACACAUAUCAGUCAAAUGCUCCCGAAGGUGCAAAAUAAAUUGGUGAUCCCGUGGGACACCUACAAGGUAAACAUCCCAAUACAAUCUAACAAUUUAUCCCCUCAUUCCAUUCAAUCCAUCUUUCAGUUACUUCAAAACAUAGAGUUCUUUCUCUCAACUUAUCUCACUUUAGUCAUAUGUCUGUGAAUAAUAUACUAAUACGUCAGUCAAUCAAACUAUACAGUCAAUACACCCCUCAGAUCACCAGCACACAGUCAUACUUUAGCGUAACGUACACCCAAUCUAAACGACAAUCACAAGAUCGCAUCUGCAUCUCAUACAAGCACAAUCUACAAUUUUCGUCCUGUCCACAUCCACACACACAUAUAUAUAUUCCAUGACAAUCACAAUAUGCAUUCAACAUUAAGUCUACUUCAAUUCAUAUGCAUAUAUAUAUUUUCAGUCAAUCCACAAUAUACAUUCAACACCGAAUCUACAUCCAUACGUGUAUAUAUAUAUAUCAUCUCAUCAUCUUUACUCAGUCAGAGAUAAUCAUACAGAUAUACAAUUCACAAUCAUAAGUGAGUCCAGUAGAAAAUCCCUUACCUCAAAGUUAGGGAAGCUCCUUAAUCACUAACGUCCUCGAAACAAUCCUAAGCAUAACAACACAAAAUUCAAUUACUUUCACGAUACAUAUCCCACUUAUUUUCCUCAACGUAAGUUUCAACUCACUGAUAUAAUGGCGAACUGAACCUUCAACAAUUCACAAUCUGGUUGUGAAUGUAAGGGAGCCUAAUGUUACUCCCAACACCUCAACGCACGACUGUCGAACUCGCGGCAAAAUCCUAAGUGUGUGGUCGGUCAGCGGUCGGCCAAAUGAGACGUGGCGGCUGGGCUUCACGGAUGGAGACCGUCACGAACAGACCGCGAAUCUGAAUGGUUACAGCAAUUCUGAACGGUUACAGCAAAUCUGAACGGUUACAGCAACUAGUCGGCCGACGUCGAUAGCAGGUGGAGCGGCAGUUGUGAGCGGGGAGCGUGGCGGUUACUGGUUCACGCGGCGGCCUUGGCUUCGACGGAGACAGAACCGGCUGAGACGGCUGGGCAGCGGCGGAAGAGCAACGGCUGCAACGGCGGAAGGUCUUGCGGUACAGAUCUGGACGGCGGUCGCAAGGUGACGCGUACGGCGGCCGCAAGGUGACGCGUACGACUGCCUCGCGAACUGGCCGAUGGUUGCAGCGACGUCCGGCUGGGUUUGGACGGAACGAAGAGGAGAAGAGAAAUGGAGACGGCCGGCGGCGGUUGCUGCGAACGGAAGGAGAAGAGAGGGACAGUCGGCGACGCACGGGAGGAAGAAGAAAAAGAAAAAAAAGUUUUCUUUUUCUUUUCUUUUAUUUAAAUAAAAAUGUAAAAUAAAUAUAUUAAUAAAAUAUAAUUAAAUACAUAUAUAUAUUUAAUUAUAUUAAUACAUUUCACAUCUUCUUUCUCUCAAAAUAAUUUACCUUCAAGUUUGGGGCGUUACAUUCUUCCCUCCUUAAGAAACUUUCGUCCUCGAAAGUUUUAAUCCUGAAAUAACUCUGCUCAUCUCUUCUUCUCGCUCCCAUGUCGCCUCUUCAAUUCGAUGAUUCUGCCACAAAACCUUUACUAAUGGAAUGCUUCUAUUACGAAGCAUCUUUACCUCUCUAGCCAGAAUCUCCACAGGUUGUUCUACAUAGCUCAAAUGCUCAUCAAUCUCCAAGGGUUCAUAGUCCACUACAUGAGAUGUAUCGGCCACAUACUUCCUCAACAUCGAAACAUGGAAAACAUUAUGAACUGCAGAGAGAGAUGGUGGUAAUGCCAAGCGAUACGCCACAACACCAACCCUCUCUAAGAUCUCAAAUGGUCCAACAAAACGAGGACUUAACUUUCCUUUCUUCUCAAAACGCAUAACACCCUUCAUUGGUGCUACCUUCAAGAAUACCUUUUCUCCCACAUCGAACUUAAGGUCUUUUCACCGUACAUCCGCAUAACUCUUCUGUCUACUCUGCGCUGUUUGCAUACGUGCUCUAAUCUUUUGAAUAGCCUCAUUAGUAGACCGAACUAAUUCAGGUCCCAUCAACCUAUGUUCACCAACCUCAUCCCAACAAACAGGGGUUCUACAACAUUUGCCAUACAAAGCCUCAAAUGGUGUCAUACCGAUGGUAGCCUGGAAACUGUUGUUAUAAGAAAACUCCAUCAAAUGUAGAUGAGAGUCCCAACUACCUGGAAACUCUAUAACACAAGCUCGUAGCAUAUCCUCUAAAACUUGGUUCAAACGUUCAGUUUGACCAUCAGUCUGUGGAUGAAAGGCUGUACUAAAAUCCAAUCUCGUACCCAUAGCAGUCUGAAGUCCCUUCCAAAACUUGGAAGUAAACCGUGCAUCCCUAUCAGAAACAAUCGAUACAGGCACUCCAUGCAGUCUCACAAUCUCAGUUAAAUACAACUCUGCCCACUUACUAGCAGUAUAAGUGGAUUUCCCUGGUACAAAAUGUGCCGAUUACGUAAGCCUAUCGACAAUAACCCAAAUCACUGUGUAACCCUUCAGGGUUUUAGGCAAUUAUAUAAUAAAAUCCAUAGAUACAUUCUCCCACUUCCACUCUAAUAUACUCAAAGGUUGCAACAAACCUGUUGUUUUCUAUCUUGGUGCUUUAACCUACUAGCACACCAAGCACUUACUAACAAGAUUUUCCAUUUCUCUCUUCAUAUUACGCUAGUAACAAACUCUUUUCAAAUCCGGAUACAUUUUUGUGCUACUUGGAUGCAUGAGAAAUGGGAAACUAUGAGUCUCAACCAAUAACCUUGUCUUAAUUGCAUUUUCUGUUGGCUCACAUAAUUCUCUCUCAAACAUAAGUUCAUCAUCAAAGGAUAUGGAAAACUCCUUAACUUGCCCUACUUCUACUAGGUGAUGCUUCUCAAUCAAAUAAGGAUCAAUGAAUUGAACCACAAGAAUUCUUUGUCUCAAGGUCGGAUGUACUGACAACUGAGCUAACUUUGAGGUGACUUCCCCCACUGAAACUACAAUCUCAGCUCUCUCGUGGUUUUUGUCUAAUGAAACCUGUCUGGUAAUAAGUGCUGUCAAAAUGUGAUACUUUUCUACGAAGAGCACCAACUUCCACAUUCGCCUUACCUAGAUGGUACAAAAUCUCACAAUCAUAGUCAUUUACUAACUGAAACCAUCUUUGCUAUCUCAUACUCAACUUCUUUUGAGUGAAGAAGUAUUUUAUACUCUUUUGGUUAGAAAAUAUCUAUAUCUUUUCAUCAUACAUAUAGUGCCUUCAAAUCAUUAAUGUAAAAACCACAACUGUCAAUUCCAUAUCAUAAGUUGGACAAUUUUCCUCAGUAGGAGUACAAGCAACUACUUUAACUUGUCGAAUAAGAAUACCUUUUAAACUUUCCUAAAAGCAUCACUAUAAAUUACGGAACAUUCUGAACCAUCAUGUACGGUAAGCACGGGAGUUGUACAAGCUUCUGCUUAAGAUCCUGAGCACUAUCCUCAUAGGCUUUGUCCCAAACAAACAGAGUCCCUUUUCUUAGUUAACUGAGUCAAAGGAGUAGCUAUACGAGAAAAUUCUUAUACAAACCGUCAGUAAUAACCUGCUGAACCCAAAAAGACUACGAACCUCACUGACUAUGAAAGGUUGAGGCCAACUGGUAACGACUUCAAUCUUUUAUGAGAUCCACAUAAAUGUCAUCUCUAGAUACCACAUGGCUUGGAAAGAUACUUGGCCUCAUCCAAAACUCACAUUUUGAAAACUUUGCAUACAAUUUGUUGACUCGAAGAGCCUCUAAAACCAUGUUAAAUGCUCCUCAUGCGCCGUCUCUAUUUUGGAAUAAAUUAAGAUAUCGUCAAUAAAUACAAUCACGAAAGUGUCUAAGAGAUCGUUAAACACUUUGUUCAUCAAGUCGUAAACAUUGUUUGAGCAUUUGCCAACUCAAAAGACAUCAUAAUGAACUCAUGAUGUCCAUAUCUUGAACGAAAAUCUGCCUUAGGAAUGUCACUGUUCUCUAAUCCUCAACAAGUCAUAACCUGAAUGUAAUUCAAUCUUAAAGAACACGAACUUAUUGCAGUUGAUCAAACAAAUCCUCAUUCAUUGGUAAAAGAUAUUUAUUCUUAACCGACACCUUAUUCAACUUUCUACAAUCAAAACAUAAGUGCAUCGACCCAUCUUUCUUCUUAAUAAACAAAACUUGGUGCACCCCAAGAUAACAUACUUCGUCGAAUGUAGUCCUUGUUAAACAUUUCUUUCAAUUGCACCUUCAAAUCUUUCAACUCUGUUGGGGCCAUUUUGUAUGAAGCUUUAGAUAUAGGAACGAGUCUAACUCUAUCUCAAUAGCAAGACCAAUUUCUGUUUAGCGCGGUAAUCUUAGAAACUCUUCUAGAAAAAUAUCAUAAUACUUUUUCACCACUGAUUCAAAUAACAAAGAAACAUUGACUUCUCUGGUGUCUACCACACUAGUCAAAUACAACAGGUACCCUGGUCAAGCAACUUACUAACCUUCAUAGCUGGGAUAACUUUUAGCGAAACGAUAGUUCCAACCUCUUUGUACUUGAAACUAGCCUCUGGAGAAGGAUUAGAAAUUACAUUUUCGCUGAACAUUUUAUGUUUACAUGGUUAAACUACAUUCCAAUUUUCAAACUCCAAACUAGUAACUUUUCAUUCACGAGAAACUCAAAAUUGUUUCUUAAAGUCACAUCAAGACAACCAUGCUCAUCUUCCUUGUUUCUUUUCCAAUACCUCCAUUCUAAAACCAUUUAAUGUGUUUCGUAUAAACUUGACCGUGUAUUUAGUCCUCGUUAAAACCACCUACAUAACUUAUUUUUCUUAGAUUUCCAAUCACAAAACAGACAAUUUCGCUAACAACGUCUUACUUUUCUACUACUCGACCACUCCUUUGAACACCUCUACAUGGCAACAUUUUUCCUAAGUUUCACCAUUAAAUCCUUCACCAUUAAAUCAUAACAUUCAUGUAAUUCUAGUUUAACUUAGGCAAGGUCAUAUACAUAAACCAUACAUAUAAGCAUAAAGCAUACCUGACGAGAGACGAAGGGUCGCGUUAGCCAUAGGGACACAAAAACAUAGACUUACAUCGUAAGUCAGUCUACAGAACCUAAAACUUAGGCUCUGAUACCAACUGUAACGACCCAACUUUUAUAGGUAAGUCGAGGUCAUUAAUUUUUAACAAAAGACUUUGGUUGAUACAAAAUGAAACGUAAGUCAAUUUAAAAACAAUUUAUGUCAUGCCUGAUUUUCAAAUAUUCAAGAAAACUUAAAAAUAACACUAUUUACAAAUAAAAGUUUGUAAACUAAGUUUUUAGUACAUCUUAAACUUCAAAAGAAACCAUAAGCGGAAGCAAAAUGACACAUUUCCUAUGGCAAUCACGCUUCCUCCUGCCCCUCGCCGGUUUGCCACCUUUAUUUCCUUUGCCUGAAAAUUAAACAUAAGAAGGGUGAGUAUAACAAUACUCAGUAAGAGACCCUCUACUGGUCUCGUCAGGGGAAAAUAAAUUGUUAAAGUUCUAUUGGGACACCCUGUACAGUCGCAGUCUUGUGAUCCCGUAGGAUACACAUCUCAGUCUAACGCCCCGAGGGACGUACAUAUCAGUCUAACGCCCCGAGGGACGUUCAUAUCAGUCUAGUGUUCCCGAAGGUGCAAAAUAAAUUGGUGAUCCCGUGGGACACCUACAAGGUAAACAUCCCAAUACAACCUAACAAUUUAUCCCCUCAUUCCAUUCAAUCCAUCUUUCAGUUACUUCAAAACAUAGAGUUCUUUCUCUCAACUUAUCUCACUUUAGUCAUAUGUCUGUGAAUAAUAUACUAAUACGUCAGUCAAUCAAACUAUACAGUCAAUACACCCUCAGAUCACCAGCACACAGUCAUACUAUAGCGUAACGUACACCCAAUCUAAACGACAAUCACAAGAUCGCAUCUGCAUCUCAUACAAGCACAAUCUACAAUUUUCGUCCUGUCCACAUCCACACACACAUAUAUAUAUUCCAUGACAAUCACAAUAUGCAUUCAACAUUAAGUCUACUUCAAUUCAUAUGCAUAUAUAUAUUUUCAGUCAAUCCACAAUAUACAUUCAACACCGAAUCUACAUCCAUACGUGUAUAUAUAUAUAUCAUCUCAUCAUCUUUACUCAGUCAGAGAUAAUCAUACAGACAUAUAAUUCACAAUCAUAAGUGAGUCCAGUAGAAAAUCCCUUACCUCAAAGUUAGGGAAGCUCCUUAAUCACUAACGUCCUCGAAACAAUCCUAAGCAUAACAACACAAAAUUCAAUUACUUUCACGAUACAUAUCCCACUUAUUUUCCUCAACGUAAGUUUCAACUCACUGAUAUAAUGGCGAACUGAACCUUCAACAAUUCACAAUCUGGUUGUGAAUGUAAGGGAGCUAAAUGUUACUCCCAACACCUCAACGCACGACUGUCGAACUCGCGGCAAAAUCCUAACUGUGGGUCGGUCAGCGGUCGGCCAAAUGAGACGUGGCGGCUGGGCUUCACGGAUGGAGACCGUCAUGAACAGACCGCGAAUCUGAAUGGUUACAGCAAUUCUGAACGGUUACAGCAAAUCUGAACGGUUACAGCAACUAGUCGGCCGACGUCGAUAGCAGGUGGAGCGGUAGUUGUGAGCGGGGAGCGUGGCGGUUACUGGUUCACGCGGCGGCCUUGGCUUCGACGGAGACAGAACCGGCUGAGACGGCUGGGCAGCGGCGGAAGAGCAACGGCUGCAGCGGCGGAAGGUCUUGCGGUACAGAUCUGGACGGCGGUCGCAAGGUGACGCGUACGGCGGCCGCAAGGUGACGCGUACGGCUGCCUCGCAAACUGGCCGAUGGUUGCAGCGACGUCCGGCUGGGUUUGGACGGAACGGAGAGGAGAAGAGAAAUGGAGACGGCCGGCGGCGGUUGCUGCGAACGGAAGGAGAAGAGAGGGACAGUCGGCGACGCACGGGAGGAAGAAGAAAAAGAAAAAAAAGUUUUCUUUUUCUUUUCUUUUAUUUAAAUAAAAAUGUAAAAUAAAUAUAUUAAUAAAAUAUAAUUAAAUACAUAUAUAUAUUUAAUUAUAUUAAUACAUUUCACAUCUUCUUUCUCUCAAAAUAA
rnacentral:lncRNA from 1 species